UACGUAGGGUGCAAGCGUUAAUCGGAAUUACUGGGCGUAAAGCGUGCGCAGGCGGUGAUGUAAGACAGGUGUGAAAUCCCCGGGCUUAACCUGGGAACUGCAUUUGUGACUGCAUCGCUGGAGUGCGGCAGAGGGGGGAUGGAAUUCCGCGUGUAGCAGUGAAAUGCGUAGAUAUGCGGAGGAACACCGAUGGCGAAGGCAAUCCCCUGGGCCUGCACUGACGCUCAUGCACGAAAGCGUGGGGAGCAAACAG
rnacentral:rRNA from 1 species